rnacentral:lncRNA from 1 species
AAAAAUACAUUAUUAUUAUUAUCUAGCACAUUUUGCUUGAACCUAAUAUUUGAAUUAACAUACAAAAAUGAGUACAAUUAGAAAUAAUGAUAUGGGUUAUUCUGAUCCUCCUCCUAAUGCAAAUAAUUCGAGAAAUACAAAUCCUCCUAUCUCAAACCAAGGCAAAAGUUUGGGCUAUUCCAGUCCUCCUCCUAAUGCAAACAAUGGUUCUCAAAGAAGUCAGACAAUAAGGGCUCAAAAUCAGUCUUAUAGCAACACUUGAUAUGGCCAAGAGGUAUAUCAAGACACUAUGAUUCUAUUUGAUUUUUCUCUCCUAUAUAUAUAUUUUGAGACUUCUCUAAUCUACACAAUUAAAAUUGUUUUGCAUCAUGUUCAAGUGUGUGUUUUAUCAUUGGAUCAAUAAGUCUCACCGUAUCAUGUGAUGCAAUGGUAGGAUUUAAAGAUCCAACUAAAACUAACUUAUAUAUGAACGAUGAAGACUUCUCGGUUAUCACAUUUUUUUAAGAGACUAUUUAUCACAACAUCGAAUUGGCCUAUAUAUUAGAUGUUUCAAAUUUUUAAAAAUGUUUGAACUAAAAAAGAUUAAUCAUUAUAAUGUUUUUGACAUGAAUCGUCAAAGAAGUAGCGACAUCUAAGCUUAUAUUUAUGUUCUUUCACAAAAAAAUGUUUCCAUUUUGAUUUGUGUUCUUUCAAAAAAAGUUUUGAUUUGUGUGUUACUAACAAAUCUCAUUCCUCCUAACAAAAUAACUAUUGCAAAUUUGCCUCUAAAAAUUGUUUUUGAAUAAACUUAAAUCAUAAAUGAUAUUAAGAAAAAUAGAAUUUUAAAUCAUUUAAAAGUAAAUACAAAGGGUAUAUAUAUUUUUUUUGUUUUGUUAUAAUUUAAAGCUUAUAAAAUAUUUUAGUUUGAAAAUAUUUUUUUCAAAGUUCAAGGAUUCAAUCAUUAUGAAUUUUAGUUUGAAAAAUUAAUCCAAAAUUCUCAACCAAUUUAAGGAAAAAUUGAAUUAGUAUAUUCUAUCAAUGUACAAUUAUUUUACAUAUGCAUCGGAUGAUAUGUUGUCACAUCAAUUAACAAAAAUAAAAAUAUGUAAAUUGUCAUAAUCAUCAAUUUAUGUCGUAACACAUCAUUGAAUAUAUAAAUUAAAGGUACACUAACAGAGUAUACUAAUGUUUUAUUAUUUAAUUAUUAAACCUUUAUAUUUUGUAUCGGGACAUUCAUCAUUUAAAAAAAAUUGCAGGUCCUUUGGCGUGUGGAAAUUUCAUAUGGGAAGAAAAUUUACAGCAGCAAAUAAUCUUGUUUGUUAAAGAAUCAUCGUUUGUUUAUAAUUGUUGUAUUGUGAUAUUAAUUCAGCUUGUUAUAGUUAGUUUGUUACUAAGAGUUUGUUUUCUAUUUUCAGUUAGUUGCAACUGUUAUGUGUGUUUAAAUAGAACUCAAUGUAUUGAUCAAAGUGUGUAUUUCAAUAUUCGUCCAUUCGAUAAAUAGAACUCAAUGUAUUGAUCAAAGUGUGUAUUUCUUUGCCCAAAAUGUAUCAAUCAUAUAUGUUGUUCUAGUGUUCAAAUUUUUAAGUAGAUUGUACCAUUUUCUCACUUUCAUCAAUGAAAAACCAUUAUUCUUCUGUUGUUUCUUUGCAUACCAAGAUGGUAGGAGAAUGUAACCCUUGAUCUCUGGCUCCGUCAAUUUUGUGCAAUCGAUUCCUUUCUUCAAACUUUCGAGCUAUUGGGAUGGAUUUGUAGGGUUAUAGGCAUCAAGAACAAGAAGUUAGAAUGAACCAUUUGAAUGUAUGUUUGGGGUGAUCUAUGAAGCACGGAUACCUUUGUAGGAUCAGGUGUUUGCGGUGUCCAGCAUAUGUCGGUGUCAAUACUUGUAUGACAUUUGUUAAAAAUCCAAAAAAAGUUAGGUGCAUUUUUUUAGAUACUUUUUGUAUGGUUUUAACCAAACUACUCUCUUUUCAAACUCUAAAUUUUCUCUAAGUUUGUUAUAUUUAGUUAUAAAUCAUACGAAAAACACUUAAGAAAAUGCACUUAAGUUUUAUCCUAAAUAUUCUUAGACAAGUGUCUCAAAAGUAUUUAUUUAUUUCUUUGUUCUAACACUCCUUGGAUCACUGUCGAACACCCAUUUAACACCAUACGAUGAGUGUUAGACAAACUAAGACAAUUGUUUGAAAAUAUUUUCUAUUUCUUUUCUUGGACACAUAUUGUUCGACAAAUCUCAAACACAUAUAUGGAUUAAAGAUAUGUUGAAUACUAUAAAUCUUGUUUUAUUUUAUUUUUUUAUAAAACAAAUUGCUUAAUUUAUAUGAACAUUAUAUAUUUUGAUUCUCAAUUGAGUUCUUUUAAAAACAAUUAUGAUAUCUUAUUUAAUUGUAAUAAAUAAGUUAUUAUAUAUGUAGCGGUGUCAGUGUUCUGUAUCUCUCAAUUAUUUAAAAAUAUUAGCAAUGUCGACGUGCAUGUGUCGUAUCAAAUGUCUGAGUCAAAGUCCGUACUUCUUAAAAAUUAUCAAAGAUCUGAUAAUCGUCGCACUAGUCUAUGACCAACUACAUAAGUAAUUUGGACAUCAUAUUUAAAAACAAAAAACAUAAGCCAUGAGUAUAUAAAUCUUCUUAUUAUAAGUUGCCUAACAUUUGUAGUGCAAAAUCAACGUCUAAACAAAUCUUUAGUAAAAAUUUAGUGAAUGAACAAACAAAGACUAUAUAUACUCUUAAUACAAAAUCAAAGAACCAACCACUUACAAUCUCAGACCAAUCCCAGAAAUUAGAAAUAGCUAAUGCACAUGAAUUAGAUAUCCAAAGUUUCAUAUUUAAAUUUUUAACAAGACGGAUUGAUGGUGCACUUUGGACUGUUUUAAAAUUAUCUGAUUCAAUGUUUUGUUUUUCUUCUUUUGAACCUGUUAUUUGGUCUAAAAAACGACUAAUCCGAGAUGUACAAUCUUAUCAGCAACUUGUGAGGCUAUCAUUUAAAGUCAAAGCUUCUUUGUUUGUUUAUGUGAUCCAACGAAAGACUUUUAAUAUAAUGAGCAAUGGAGAAGCUUAACCAUAGUAUUUGAUCAAUCUGUUUCACAUCACAUGUCGUAUUUAACCACUUCACACAUGUCAAAACACAAUUUUUUUUUUAAGAAUUCAAACUAACUAGCCAAAAUUGUCACUGUGGAGAAUCGAAUCUGACACGCUUUGAGAGGAGCACACUAUGUUCUUCUUCUGAGAACAUAGCAUGAAUUUUACAAUCUGAGCUUCUUACACGCCUUUAUCUCAGCACGGUAGCGACAUGGUCAAAUUUCUCACCGCCAGACUUAAUUCAUCAUAAACUAACUUCGAAAUUGUUUUGAAGGGAACUUCGAAAUUGUUAACCACAAUUCUUCUUUGAAAGUGUUUUGUUACACGUUAUUGAUCAAUGAAAUAACUCUAUCAUAUUAGCCAUUCUCCUGAAAACAGAGUUAAAGGUGGACUUUUGAUGUUUAUAAUAUUGAAUAAAUGGGAAGAGAUGUCAUAAUUUUUUUUGUCCGUAUAUGAAGGGGCAUAUACUAGCUAAAUUUCAAAUGCUACUGUGAUACUUCGGUUAAAAUUUAGGUGAAAGUGUUUAGCAUAACAAUAUUGUCAUUGUCAGUUGAGUUAGAUCUUACGUAGAAAAAUAUAUAAUGUUGUAUAAAUUUUUAAGUUUAAACGCGGUUCGGAUCCCCUAUUAUGACAAAAAUAGCAAUUUUAUUCCCUCCAUUUUUAAUUGCGCAAUUUUGAUACCCAUUUUUAAAAAAAAUUGCCAAUUUGUAAUUUUGACCAUCCAAUUUGAUGAUGUGGCAAUAAAUUGUUUAAGUUUAUUUCAAUUAAUAUUCUUUCGUCUUCGUAUAAUUAGUCUUGUCAUCAAUUUGUGUGAUCAAAAUUAUGGGUUGGUCAAAAAUUCUGAACUGAGAUACCAAAUUUGCCAAUUAAAAAUGGAUAGCCAAAAUUACGGUUUUACGAAAACAAGGAAUCAAAAUUGAAUCUUAGAGGUUAAGCCACAAGUUUGGAGCUUUUGAUACUCUGCAUGUGAAGAUGUGGGGCAUGUAAUUGGUGCUUGACAUGACUUUGUAUCUCUCAUCUAAUUAUAGAGUGACUCAAAGGUUCAUGUAAUUGGGCUUGACAUGACUUUGUAUCUCUCAAAGGUUAUAGAGUAACUCUUCAAGAUUUUCUUUAGAAGGACACAUACUUUAGUCUUUUUUUUUUUUAUAAAUUCUUGGAAUUUUCUUGUUUUGCAGUCCCCUCUUAGAUAUCUUUACAUACUUCUUUUUGAUGAUAUUGCAGGAGCUUGCAUGCGAAAAAAUGUGCAUUUGACUUAUUAAUUUUCUUUUGAGCCACUUGCCCUCUAUUAUACCAAAACAAAGAUCACACAUUACCUGUUCGUGCAUGAAUUACAUAUGAAAUAAUCUAUUUCCAUACUUUUUCUUGCAUUUUAUAAAGACCCCCAAGUAAAAUACCGGAAAUAUCUAUCUAUAUGAUUUUUGUUUUUUAAGGUAUCCUAUCUAUAGGAGUUGAACCUUUUUUUUUAGAGGAUUUGAGUUGAAACGUUAAAAAAAUAUCUUAUAGGAGGUCCAAUAUUCAAUCCCAACUAAUUUUUUUUUUAGGAACUAAUCACCAGCAUUUCUCAACAAUGAAGAGUGAAAAUUCAUGGAUAUUUUAUCAAAAUUCGCUAUUCGUUUCCAAUCUUUUUUUCUUCUUACUUCUAUGUGCAAAAUCUCUCCAAUCUUUUCCCUCUUUUUUUAUUGAUUAAAAUUUGAACAUUUCAAAAUGACUAACGUGUAGUCGAUAAACAAGUUAAAACAUGGGAGAGAAAUUCCUUAUGAACAAAGCAUAUCAUUUCCUAAGUAUCUGCAAAAAGAAAAAAAUUGUAGAACAAACUUCGUAGAUCAAAUGAAGGGUUACAGUGCAAUUUGUCCGAGUGGUAUCCGUAGUAAGAACUUAACUUUUAUAAUAGAGUUCAAAUCUCACAUGAGACAAUUAUAAAAUGAUGAUAGUAACAUCGUUAUUAAUAAGGUUUAAAUAGGCCUUUCGUCCCUGCAACUAUAGGUCAUUUGAAUUUUUGUCCCUGAAGUUACUAAUCCUUCCAAUCUGCCACUGCAAAAUUUAAUCAUUUGACUUUUGAUCCUAAUUAGGUUUUUUUGCUGAGGUGGGCUGUCAUUAACGACAUGGUGCCCAUGUGGUAAGUGAUGAUUGGGCUAGCUGGUUGGCUUAAAUAAGUUUUUCGUCCCUGAAGUUACUAAUCAGAUGUAAUUAGGACCAUUUUUGAAAUGAUUAAUAUCUUCAAUGGCAAAAUGGAAUGAUUAGUAACUUCAUGGACGAAAAUUUAAAUGGCUUAUAUUUGCAGGGACGAAAUACAUAUUUAAACCUAUUAAUAAUAAUCUUGCCUUCUCCAUUUUUCUUUUUUUAAAGAAGGGUAACAUUGCAAUUUAACACUCAUAAUUUAAAUUAUUUUGACCAAGUUCAUGUCAUUCAACCAUCAACUACAAUCUGUUACGUGUGGUAUGUAAAACCCUUAAAUGAAUAUUGCUUAAACUUACCAUGAAAUACAUGGUACAUUUCUUGUAUAUUGCAGCCAGGAUUACAAUGUCUAUAAAUACUAGACUGAAUCAUAUAUAUCCAAUCAAACACAUAGAAAAAAUACAUUAUUAUUAUUAUUAUUAUUAUCUAGCACAUUUUGCUUGAACCUAAUAUUUGAAUUAACAUACAAAAAUGAGUACAAUUAGAAAUAAUGAUAUGGGUUAUUCUGAUCCUCCUCCUAAUGCAAAUAAUUCGAGAAAUACAAAUCCUCCUAUCUCAAACCAAGGCCAAAGUUUGGGCUAUUCCAGUCCUCCUCCUAAUGCAAACAAUGGUUCUCAAAGAAGUCAGACAAUAUGGGCUCAAAAUCAGUCUUAUAGCAACACUUGAUAUGGCCAAGAGG